rnacentral:rRNA from 1 species
AUUGAACGCUGGCGGCAGGCUUAACACAUGCAAGUCGAGCGGGGUGAUGGUGCUUGCACUAUCACUUAGCGGCGGACGGGUGAGUAAUGCUUAGGAAUCUGCCUAUUAGUGGGGGACAACAUCUCGAAAGGGAUGCUAAUACCGCAUACGUCCUACGGGAGAAAGCAGGGGAUCACUUGUGACCUUGCGCUAAUAGAUGAGCCUAAGUCGGAUUAGCUAGUUGGUGGGGUAAAGGCCUACCAAGGCGACGAUCUGUAGCGGGACUGAGGGGAUGAUCCGCCACACUGGGACUGAGACACGGCCCAGACUCCUACGGGAGGCAGCAGUGGGGAAUGUUGGACAAUAGGGGGAGCCCUGAUCCAGCCAUACCGCGUGUGUGAAUCAGGCCUUAUGGUUGUAAAGCACUUUAAGCGAGGAGGAGGAUCUUUUGGUUAAUACCCAAGAUGAGUGGACGUUACUCGCAGAAUAAGCACCGGCUAACUCUGUGCCAGCCGCCGCAGUAA